CCCCAACAAUCCCCCCCACACUCUCCCCCAACAGUCCGAGAAAUAAUUUGUCAGCAAGACGUCACGUUUUGUUUUUGUUAAUCGAAGAACCCGGUUUCACUGCUCUGUGGGGUUCGGCUCUUCAGGUGGUUCUGAGAGAGUGGAAGUAGGCGGGUCACCCGAUCCUGCUUCACUCUCCUCCUCUCUCCUCGUGUCCGCUGCCCACAUCCUCAGUCUGAAGCGUCUCUUUGAUGACAGCACCUUCAGAUUCUCAUCUGUUGUUGUGUGCUUAACCGAUUUUAUGGAUUUUUCUCUGUCCAGGAAGUAGUUUUUUAGUACGACCCCACUUUGUCCUAAAGUCUCCUCCAAGAACCAGUUUAGCUGUUCUGCUGUGUAAAAUUGCUCUGGCUGUUCGACCCCCUUGUUGUCAGCGAUAGCGGUGUAGGGUUUGUUAUGGACGCUGUCUGCGGUGUUGGUUUCAUUUCUAUCAUGGACACGGGUGUCGGUGCUGUCACUGGGUGCUGUGAUUAUUUCAGUGGUGUUGUGUUCGUCACUGACCUCUUCCUGCUGUGACCUCUGUGUGUCAUUACCCCGUCUGCCCCAGGAUCCUGUUCUCCGGUGUCCCCCACUAGCUGUCUCCGCGCUGCUGCUGCUGUACCCCGGCCGUGUCGCCCCCGGAGCUCCCCGGCUGCACCGCUCCGCGUGGGCAGCUCAGCCGUUUAUGUCCGAUCUCCCCACACCCUAAACACCUCGGGCGUUCGGUGGUGGUGAAGACGGUGUAGCUGCUGUCCUCGUGUUUACACUUGAAGUUUAUAUCCAGUGCUUGUUCUCCGUUGUUAAUAAACAUAUAAACCUGUCUGCGGAAAGACAGGACGUGUUUCACCGCGGAGUUCUUACAGCCGAGCGGAUAUCCGUCAUGGGGCUGGGGAACUUCCCGAGGCGGGUCGGCUCCUUCAUGAUCAGCUCGUCUUUAAUGAAGGGGGACGUUAGACCCGCGUCGCAGGGGCAGAAAGAGGGGUGACGUGUAGCAUGUCACCUUUCAGCCAUAUUCCACUUUCACACAGUGUGUUGGCGAAUAUUUCUUUCUUUAGGAAAAUCACCACCGCUUUGUUCAUUCGGGAGGCGGAGUAGAUGUUCUCACUCCCGACCUGCUCUCCCACCGCCAGCAGAACCUCCUCCCCCUGUUCUCCGUUCUCCGGUACACACCUGACGCCAUGGCGGAGAGACAGCGUCUCCCCUCCAGCCUCGGGGGCCAUGGAGUCCCGCUCCCUCUCUCCCGCUCUCAACUUUCACCAACCCCCGAUAACUCAAUAACUAGACAUUCACUUAAUUAAAUGAAAGAAAGGAAAAGGACAAACUUGCGAAAACUUUGGCAAGAUGCCAAACUGCUCUCACGCACUCGACACACCACGCUCACUCCUCCACCACGCAUGCGCAGAGAGAGAGCGAGAGAGAGAGAGAGAGAGAGAGAGAGAGAGAGAGAGCGCAAGCGAGAGAGACAGUCAGAGAGUGAGAGAGAUAAGAUUUGGGGGAUUUAUCUUUGGAGCAAAUGUUUUUCUGUUCAGCACAACAUCAUGUAACUCCAGUAAUUUCCACAGCGGUGGUUUUGUUUCAGCUAAAGCUGACUCGUGGGUGCGGAGUGAAAGGUUUAUCAGGACACAGCGUGGACUUCAGAGUCUGCAGGAGAUAGAUCGGACUAAAGGCAGUGUUUAUAUGUGAAGUGUCACUUGCUCUGAUGUUUGUGUAUAAAAACACCCACUUCAGAAAGAAUCCCGUGUGCUCAAGCUUCUUCAAGAUAAACACAUCCGCGUGUAGAGAAUCUUUAGUUUUAUAGCCUCAGUGUAAAACAGACCCGCGGGUUCCCCUAGUAACAGGUUCUGUUAUUGUGUUUUGGGCGUGUCCCAGACAGGGCAGGAGAGAUACAGGAGCUGGAACAGGUCCAGUGUUGUAAUUAAAACAGGGAGUGUGUGUUAUCAUGCGUUAAUACACAAAUAGAACUAGGUCAGGUGACUGAGAGCAGAAAAUAGAAACAUGACGUCAUCACAGCGAAUGACCUUCACUACACGAACAAAAGACAAAACAGUAACAAUCAUAACAACCAUACAUACUGUACAUGUAUACAGGUCAAUAAUAAUAGUGAUUAUUAUUAUUAUUAUUAUUAUUAUUAUUAUUAUUAUUAUGACAAAUGAUGCAUUUAGUAUAACAGAGUUUUAAUGAAAUAAAUUGCUUAAUAAAUUACAAAAUAAAUAUAAAUUUUUGUAUUCUGUUGAAAUCUGGUGACAAGAUCAGCCCAUUGUGUGUGUGUGUGUGUGUGUGUGUGUGUGUGUGUAUAAAUGCCUGUUAUUAUUUUCUGAGCGUCAAUACAAUUACAGUUAUGUAAAGGUAUUAUACAGUAUUUAUGAGGAACUAAAAUCAAUUCCUUAACACCGAGAUUUGACUGAAGUUAUUUUAGUGUAAGUAUUUAAAAACACUCAUGUAUGUAAUAAGGGCUCCGUAGAGAUUUAUGGAUAAAAAGUAAAAAGUACAGGUAUGAAUGAAAAGCUUUAACACUAAUGUUAAUGUUGAAUAAUAUUUUAUAUAUAUAUAUAUAUAAUUAAUUAUAAUGUUAGUGAAAUAUGAAAUCAUUUUCUCAAGUCUCAGAUAAAAACCUAUAAUGUGUGCUAUAAAUAGUAAGGCUGUGAUUUACCUCGUUCAGAGGAAUGCCACCUGUCUGGAUUUUACAGGUGUCUCUGUCAUGAGUGUGUGUGUGAGUGUAUUCAUCACUAUCACUAAACACCGCUAGCGUUUUUAUUCUCACUAUACUUUACUGUAGUGCUGAACAAAAAGAAUACUUCUUAAACUCACACAAGGAAAUAGAUUAACUGCCCAAAUCUCAUCAGAUGAUCACCAUCGAGGAUCAGCUUUAGACCUCGCUCAGUCUGUGAACACUGUGUAGACACUUCCUGUUUCCACUGGACACGCCCACCAAAACAUGACAACCGUUCCCAGGGAAAUCUCCGCUCGGCUUUGUUGUUUUUUUUUAAAUAAAACAAACACUGAUAUGCGGUACUAAACUCCCUUACACGGCAGUUUCUAUAAAACAGUGCUGGAGUUCAACAGUUGUUAUGUUUUGAUGAAAGUUAUUAUGAGUUAAAUGUGAAAUAUUGCUGACUUUGUAGCCUGAAAUGAAUUCAUAACCAAAACAAACACAUUGUAAAAAGAAUGAAAAGCUUGUUAUCAUGUAUAACGUCAUUAAAUGAUUUUACACACUUUAACAUGCUUUUAUUCUUUCUGCAGUGUGACUGUUUUGGUCAUGAAUUCAUUUCAGAUUUGAAACAUUUAAUAUUUAAAGCACAGACUUAAUAAUAAAUCAUUAAUAAAUCUGUCUCCUGCAGGAUCUAAGGUCCACACUGUGAUAAAGUCGUUUCAGUCUGUGUCCUUGCAGCUGUAAACAGAUUAGAUAUAAAACAGUGUAGACUGGUACAGAAAGGUGAUUCAUUAGAACGGUGAUGGAAACGUAUAAACUUACCCACGUUAGCUAUAAACACGUCUGUGGAAAUUACUGGAGUUUAUAUGAAGUCUGGGGAAUUAUUACAGCAUGUUCAAAAAUAAAUGUAAUACACGUAGAGAAACAGGAAACAGGUCAAAUAAAAUAACAUAAAAAACAACAGCGUAAAAUCUCUGUGCUCUCGUCUGCUCUUUAUUACCCCUGAAACACAGGAUCCCUCAGGAGAGGGGAAGGGGUUUACUGAGAACACGCUUGUGCUCUGUUCCCUUGUUAACACUUUUCCUCUCCGUUCCUCUCCGUUCCUCUCCGUUCCUCUCCGUUCCUCUCUGUUCCUCUCCGUUCCUCUCCGUUCCUGCACGAAACCAGUCUCAACCAGGUACAGACGGAUCAAGCCCCUCACCAUUCCUUUGUCUCCCCAAAUAACAUCUGCGCGCAUUCCCUGAUGUCCCGAAUACCGUAUAUGGAGUUAUUCCUCUCUUACAUUGAAAUGCUUCCUGUUAAAUGCAAAUAUGCCUUCCGCCUAACCAAUCAAUAGGUAACCUGUUGUCUCUGUCCCUGCGUCAAGCAGGAUAUAUACUAUGCCUUUCUUUGAAUAAAUCGGGGAUCUUGCCAUUUGAAUCUUGUGUCUGUGUUUCAUUUGUCAAUUCUCCCAAGGCCUUGGGGCGCGGGAACUGUCUUUAUGUGUACUUUCACUUCUCUCUUCUUAAUAAUCGUAACCUGAAAAUGACAAUUUCCCAAACAGAGGAUUACAAAUCAAUUCCAAGGUAUCGGAUAUACCAUGGAACAGAAAAUAUGGCAUGACAGUGACACUACCAUGAACAGGACACACCUCUAAACCUGAUGAGAAAUUAGGUAGAAACUUGUCAUGGGACGCUGCUGAGAAGACGACAGCAAUAUAAAAAGAACUGCAGUAGUUUCUGACAAGUACAGGCUGCUCCCCACAUGUGACAACAAUCUCCUGAAUUCUUCAUAUCUCUGUGGGGGCUGUGGGGUAGGGCGGCAAGACGGAGCCUUUCAUAACAAAAAAAAUAAAAAAAUACAUCCAGUCUCCCAAAACCGUGUGGAAAAAUGUGUUAGGGACUGAUGAGACCAAAGUUGAACUUUUUGGCCACGAUACCAAAAGAUAUGUUUGGCACAGAAAACCCACAGCACAUAAUGAAUAAUGAACAGCUCCAAAUACCGGACAAUUCUGGCGCGAAACCUUAAGGCUUCUGCUCCAACACUUCAGAUGAAGAGGAAUUCAAGGUUCAAGGUUUUGGAACGGCCCAGCCAGAGUCCAGACCUAAAUCCAAUCAAAGAUCUGAAGAGGGUUGUGUACAGGAGACCCCCAGCCAAUCUGACAGAGUUAGAAUGCUUUUACAGGGAAGAACGGCAAAAUAUUGCUAAGUCAAGACGCUCCAAACUGAUCGACUCCCGCGGAAAAAGACUGAAUGCUGUGAUCGAAAGCUGCUUCGACUAAGUAUUCAUUUAGGGGUGUACAAACUUAUGCAGCCAGGUUUAUUUUUCAUUUUCUCCCCCUAAAAUGAUUCUUAUUGUUUUUCGCGUUAAUUAAUAGAUUAAAAUUUCACAAUAAAGGUAGAAAGGGUUCUGACAUGAUUUAUCUUGUUUUCUUUUUUUUACAUCACUAAAACCUGCGAUUUUAACAGGGGUGUGUAGACUUUUUAUAUCCGCUGUAUAUAAUCUCCAGUACAAUCAUCUCACAAACGAAUGAUGUGGCGUUUAUUCGUUUUAUUUAAUGAUUUUCCGGGAGGAUAAAUGAACAGAGGAUAAAUUAAGCGUGUGGAAUCUAAACCCGGGCGUCUCGACCCAUUUACAGCCACAGAGCCUUCACUGUGAAAUAAAAGAAACGCUCAGAUGAACACACAACACAUGGAGUUGAUGAAUAUAAUCUGUCUCUUCAGACCAAUCAGCUCUUUCAGGACUAUAUCAGAGAAAAUGUUGAGAGUUUUACUCUUACUUUCCAGCUACAACAAUCAGUUUAUUACAGUCACUGAUACUGAUAUCCACUGCAUUACUGUUUAAAAAAUCCAGACCCACUGGCUGCUUCACCGAAACAUUCAAUUACAGAAACCAAAUAUUUUGCUAUGUGUGUAGUGCUGACCUCGCUUUACUUCUCUAACACUCCCUUACUGCGUAUCUUGAGAUCUUACUGAAGAAUGUGACGACUCAGUACAAUGAUGUAAAUACCGGUUCCAGUAUUAGAUGAGGGUGUGUUCAGACAUGUAUAAACACCGCCGUGCUCCCAUUACAGCAUCAACUGAUCUUAUUUUCCCAAUCAGAUAUACCUCGGGUGCUUGUUCAUUUCCUCAUCAUCUCAACAGUCUUCCCAUUCAACACCUGUGUCCUGCACAGAACCCUGACCUCGACCCCACUGAACACCUUCGGGAUGAACUGGAACUGGAGUCUCCUCACAUCAACCUCAGCACCUGACCUCGACCUCACUAACGCUCUCGUAGCUGAAUGAACACAAAUCCCCACGGCCACGCCCCAAAAUCCCCACGGCCACGCCCCAAAAUCUAGUGGAAAGCCUUCCCAGACGAGUGGAGCGCAUUAUAACAGUAAAAGGGGAAUAAAUCCGUAAUGCGAUGUUCAACAAGUACAUAUGGGUGUGAUGGUCAGGGGUGCACAUACUUUUGGCCCUACAGUGUAUAUUUCUCUUCUUAUCACUGUUUUAUAUUAUUUUGUAUGUGUAUUUCACUUGUAUGUAAGAUUUAUACGUAAGUUCGAUGUACAGAACUUUGUUGAGAGCUCCGUGUUUUUAAUGUGUUUUAUCAAUAAAAAGUUCUCAUUUAAUUUACA